UACAGAGGUCUCAAGCGUUGUUCGGAUUCAUUGGGCGUAAAGGGUGCGUAGGCGGCGCGGUAAGUCGGGUGUGAAAUCUCGGAGCUUAACUCCGAAACUGCAUUCGAUACUGCCGUGCUUGAGGACUGGAGAGGCGAGUGGAAUUCCCGGUGUAGCGGUGAAAUGCGCAGAUAUCGGGAGGAACACCAAUGGCGAAGGCGGCUCUCUGGGACGGUACUGACGCUGAGACGCGAAAGCGUGGGGAGCGAACAGG
rnacentral:rRNA from 1 species